GUCUACGGCCAUACCACCCUGAACGCGCCCGAUCUCGUCUGAUCUCGGGAGCUAAGCAGGGUCGGGCCUGGUUAGUACUUGGAUGGGAAAACGUGUGUAUUGAUG
rnacentral:rRNA from 1 species